UACGAAGGGGGCUAGCGUUGCUCGGAAUCACUGGGCGUAAAGCGCACGUAGGCGGCUUUUUAAGUCAGGGGUGAAAUCCUGGAGCUCAACUCCAGAACUGCCUUUGAUACUGAGAAGCUUGAGUCCGGGAGAGGUGAGUGGAACUGCGAGUGUAGAGGUGAAAUUCGUAGAUAUUCGGAAGAACACCAGUGGCGAAGGCGACUGACUGGACAAGUAUGACGCUGAGGUGCGAAAGCG
rnacentral:rRNA from 1 species